CCCUUAGAUGUUCUGGGCCGCACGCGUGCUACACUGAGUAAUUCAAUGGGUAAGGGAACGCUAGAGCAUUACCUAAUCUUGAAAUUUGCUCGUGAUGGGGAUCGACGGUUGCAAUUUUCCGUCGUGAACGAGGAAUACCUUGUAGGCGCAUGUCAUCAUCAUGCGCCGAAUACGUCCCUGCCCUUUGUACACACCGCCCGUCGUUCCUACCGAUUGAGUGAUCCGGUGAGGCUCUGGGACCUGGACGGAAAGAGCGUUUCGCUUGUUCUGUUUGGGAAACUUGGUCGAACCUUAUCAUUUAGAGGAAGGAGAAGUCGUAACA
rnacentral:rRNA from 1 species